rnacentral:tRNA from 1 species
GGGGAUGUGGCUCAGCAGUAGAGUGCUCGUCUCCCAUGCGUGGGACCCUGGGUUCAAUCCUCAGCACCA